rnacentral:rRNA from 1 species
GGAAUUGUUCACAAUGGGCGCAAGCCUGAUGACGCAACGCCGCGUGGAGGAUGACGGUCUUCGGAUUGUAAACUCCUGUUGCUCGGGACGAAAAGCUACGACCUAAUACGUCGGAGUCCGACGGUACCGAGUGAGGAAGCGCCGGCUAACUCCGUGCCAGCAGCCGCGGUAAUACAGAGGGGGCAAGCGUUGUUCGGAAUUACUGGGCGUAAAGGGCGCGUAGGCGGCCUGUUAAGUCGAACGAGAAAUCCCCGGGCUCAACCCGGGAACUGCGUCCGAUACUGGCAGGCUUGAAUUCGGGAGAGGGAUGCGGAAUUCCAGGUGUAGCGGUGAAAUGCGUAGAUAUCUGGAGGAACACCGGUGGCGAAGGCGGCAUCCUGGACCGAGAUUGACGCUGAGGCGCGAAAGCCAGGGGAGCAA